UGGCGCCGCGAUUUUUCUGGUGCAAAUAACUCACCCGCGUGCGCGUCUCCCCGCCUUCCCCGUCUAGGUGCGCUGUACCUGGGAAGAUAAACUCCCGAUCAAUUUAAUCCCCUUGCACAUCAGGCCAUCAUUCUUCAACCUCCACGCCACGACCCGGGCACUGAUCCCUCCCAAACCUCCCAAGCCGAGCGCUGCUGUUUCCACUCACCGGAGAUCCGACGACCGCGGACGUUUCAAGGACGAGUUCGACCGCUAGGAUCUCGUCCUGGAUCACACAUCGUCCACCACUUCAUCAACUCCAGAAGCGCCAGAACGAUGACAAGAUCAGCGCACGGUUGGUGCGAAGAGCGAUGUGUUUUGUUGAGAGAAGUGAACGAUCUUCAAUUACCAAAAAGGCAAGU